CUACCGGCUUUUAUAGACGCUAUCGUCUGCAGUUAAAGCCACACUUAUUUAAUUAAAGUAAGUGU
rfam:Atta colombica isolate Treedump-2 unplaced genomic scaffold scaffold15, whole genome shotgun sequence.